rnacentral:rRNA from 1 species
CCUACGGGUGGCAGCAGUGGGGAAUAUUGCACAAUGUGGGAAACCCUGAUGCAGCGACGCCGCGUGAGUGAAGAAGGAAUUCGUUUUGUAAAGCUCUAUCCGCAGGGAAGAAAAUGACGGUACCUGAGUAAGAAGCCCCGGCUAACUACGUGCCAGCAGCCGCGGUAAUACGUAGGGGGCAAGCGUUAUCCGGCUUUACUGGGUGUAAAGGGAGUGUAGGCGGAUAUGUAAUGUAGCGGUGAAAUGCAGGGGCUCAACCCCGAAACUGCCAUUAUCACGAUGUAUCUAGAGUAAUGGAGAGGAUAGUGGAAUACCCAGUGUAGAGGUGAAAUUCGUAGAUAUUGGGUAGAACACCAGUUGCGAAGGCGGCUAUCUGGCCUUUUACUGACGCUGAGGCUCGAAAGCAUGGGGAUCAAACAGGAUUAGAUACCCCGGUAGUC